GGUUGAUCCCGCCGGACCUGACUGCUAUCGGAUUGAUACUAAGCCAUGCGAGUCAUUGUAGUAAUGCAAGGCAUACGGCUCAGUAACGCGUAGUCAACCUACCCUAUGGACGGGAAUAACCUCGGGAAACUGAGUAUAAUGCCCGAUAGAACACUAUACCUGGAAUGGUUUGUGUUUCAAAUGAUUUAUUGCCGUAGGAUGGGACUGCGGCCUAUCAGUUUGUUGGUGAGGUAAUGGCCCACCAAGACUAUUACAGGUACGGGCUCUGAGAGGAGUGGCCCGGAGAUGGGUACUGAGACGCGGACCCAGGCCCUAUGGGGCGCAGCAGGCGAGAAAACUUUGCAAUGUGCGAAAGCACGACAAGGUUAAUCCGAGUGGUUUCUGCUAAAGGAACCUUUUGACAGUCCUAGAAACACUGUUGAAUAAGGGGUGGGCAAGUUCUGGUGUCAGCCGCCGCGGUAAAACCAGCACCUCAAGUGGUCAGGAUGAUUAUUGGGCCUAAAGCAUCCGUAGCCGGCUCAGUAAGUUUUCGGUUAAAUCUGUACGCUCAACGUACAGGCUGCCGGGAAUACCGCAGAGCUAGGGAGUGGGAGAGGUAGACGGUACUCGGGAGGAAGUGGUAAAAUGCUUUGAUCUUUCGAUGACCACCUGUGGCGAAGGCGGUCUACCAGAACACGUCCGACGGUGAGGGAUGAAAGCUGGGGGAGCAAACCGGAUUAGAUACCCGGGUAGUCCCAGCUGUAAACUAUGC
rnacentral:rRNA from 1 species